rnacentral:rRNA from 1 species
GAUGAACGCUGGCGGCGUGCCUAACACAUGCAAGUCGAGCGAUUUCCUUCGGGAAAGAGCGGCGGACGGGUGAGUAACGCGUGGGUAACCUGCCCUGUACACACGGAUAACAUACCGAAAGGUAUGCUAAUACGGGAUAACAUACUUUUAUCGCAUGGUAGAAGUAUCAAAGCUCCGGCAGUACAGGAUGGACCCGCGUCUGAUUAGCUAGUUGGUAAGGUAACGGCUUACCAAGGCAACGAUCAGUAGCCGACCUGAGAGGGUGAUCGGCCACAUUGGAACUGAGACACGGUCCAAACUCCUACGGGAGGCAGCAGUGGGGAAUAUUGCACAAUGGGCGAAAGCCUGAUGCAGCAACGCCGCGUGAGCGAUGAAGGCCUUCGGGUCGUAAAGCUCUGUCCUCAAGGAAGAUAAUGACGGUACUUGAGGAGGAAGCCCCGGCUAACUACGUGCCAGCCGCCGCAGUAA